GGCGUAGUGGUAGUGGUCUGAGUUUCAGACCGCGACUCUGGAGACCAGGGUUCGAUUCCCAGCUCGGCCA